rnacentral:rRNA from 1 species
AAAGUUCCCUUCGGGGAACAAGUAGAGUGGCGCACGGGUGAGUAACACGUAGGUAAUCUACCUUUGGAUUGGGAAUAACACCGAGAAAUCGGUGCUAAUACCGAAUAAUGCAGCGGCACCUAAUGGUGACAGUUGUUAAAGCGGGGGAUCGCAAGACCUCGCGUCUAAAGAGGAGCCUGCGGCGGAUUAGCUAGUUGGUAAGGUAACGGCUUACCAAGGCGAUGAUCCGUAGCCGGCCUGAGAGGGCGGUCGGCCACACUGACACUGACAUACGGGUCAGACUCCUACGGGAGGCAGCAGUCGGGAAUUUUGGGCAAUGGGCGAAAGCCUGACCCAGCAACGCCGCGUGAAGGAUGAAAUCCCUCGGGAUGUAAACUUCGCAAGAACGGGAAGAAUAAGUCGGUGCUAACACCAUCGGCGAUGACGGUACUGUUUGUAAGCUCCGGCUAACUCCGUGCCAGCAGCCGCGGUAAUACGGGGGGAGCAAGCGUUGUUCGGAUUUACUGGGCGUAAAGGGCGCGUAGGCGGCCACCGCAAGUCGACUGUGAAAUCUCCGGGCUUAACUCGGAAAGGUCAGCCGAUACUGCGGGGCUAGAGUGCAGAAGGGGCAACUGGAAUUCUCGGUGUAGCGGUGAAAUGCGUAGAUAUCGAGAGGAACACCUGCGGCGAAGGCGGGUUGCUGGGCUGACACUGACGCUGAUGCGCGAAAGCUAGGGGAGCGAACGGGAUUAGAUACCCCGGUAGUCCUAGCCUUAAACGAUGAAUGCUUGGUGUCUGGGGUUUUAUAGU